rnacentral:tRNA from 1 species
GUGGUGGCUCAGUGGUAGAGCGAUCACCUAGUAUGCACAAGGCACUGGGUUCCAUCCUCAGCACCACA